GUCUCUAACACACACACACACUAAAAUUGGAACAAUACAGAGAAAAUUAGCAUGGGCCUUGUACAAGAAUGACACAUGAAUUUGUGAAGUGUUCCACAUUUUC